UACGUAGGGGGCGAGCGUUGUCCGGAUUUAUUGGGCGUAAAGAGCGUGUAGGCGGCCAGGUAGGUCUGCUGUGAAAACUCGAGGCUCAACCUCGAGACGCCGAUGGAAACCAUCUGACUAGAGUCCGGAAGAGGAGAGUGGAAUUCCUGGUGUAGCGGUGAAAUGCGCAGAUAUCAGGAAGAACACCCGUGGCUAAGGCGGCUCUCUAGUACGGUACUGACGCUGAGACGCGAAAGCGUGGGGAGCGAACAGG
rnacentral:rRNA from 1 species